GCCGGGAUGCCCGAGUGGCCAAAGGGAGCAGACUGUAAAUCUGCCGGCUAUUGCCUACGGAGGUUCAAAUCCUUCUCCCGGCACGA
rnacentral:tRNA from 1 species